AGGGUUUGAUCAUGGCUCAGAUUGAACGCUGGCGGCAGGCCUAACACAUGCAAGUCGAGCGGUAACAGGAAGUAGCUUGCUACUUCGCUGACGAGCGGCGGACGGGUGAGUAAUGCCUGGGAAUAUGCCUUGAUGUGGGGGAUAACUAUUGGAAACGAUAGCUAAUACCGCAUAAUGCCUACGGGCCAAAGAGGGGGAUCUUCGGACCUCUCGCGUCAAGAUUAGCCCAGGUGGGAUUAGCUAGUUGGUGGGGUAAAGGCUCACCAAGGCGACGAUCCCUAGCUGGUCUGAGAGGAUGAUCAGCCACACUGGAACUGAGACACGGUCCAGACUCCUACGGGAGGCAGCAGUGGGGAAUAUUGCACAAUGGGGGAAACCCUGAUGCAGCCAUGCCGCGUGUAUGAAGAAGGCCUUCGGGUUGUAAAGUACUUUCAGCAGUGAGGAAGGUGGUGAUGUUAAUAGCAUCAUCAUUUGACGUUAGCUGCAGAAGAAGCACCGGCUAACUCCGUGC
rnacentral:rRNA from 1 species